rnacentral:rRNA from 1 species
GGCUACCUACGGGAGGCAGCAGUGAGGAAUAUUGGUCAAUGGACGAGAGUCUGAACCAGCCAAGUAGCGUGAAGGAUGACUGCCCUAUGGGUUUUAAACUUCUUUUAUAAAGGAAUAAAACGAGGCACGUGUGCCUUUUUGCAUGUACUUUAUGAAUAAGGAUCGGCUAACUCCGUGCCAGCAGCCGCGGUAAUACGGAGGAUCCGAGCGUUAUCCGGAUUUAUUGGUUUUAAUGGGUGCGUAGGCGUACAGUCA